GCUCAGAACGACGCUGGCGGCGUGCCUAACACAUGCAAGUCGAGCGAGAAAGCCCGCAAGGGUGAGUAAAGCGGCGCACGGGUGCGUAACACGUGGGUAAUCUGCCCUAGAGUCCGGAAUAACUCGCCGAAAGGCGUGCUAAUGCCGGAUGAGACCACGGGAGCUUCGGCUCCCGCGGGAAAAGGUGGCCUCUGUACACAAGCCAUCGCUCUUGGAUGAGCCCGCGGCCCAUCAGCUCGUUGGCGGGGUAAUGGCCCACCAAGGCUACGACGGGUAGCUGGUCUGAGAGGACGAUCAGCCACACUGGAACUGAGACACGGUCCAGACUCCUACGGGAGGCAGCAGUGGGGAAUCUUGCGCAAUGGGCGAAAGCCUGACGCAGCAACGCCGCGUGUGUGAUGAAGGUCUUCGGAUCGUAAAGCACUGUCGCGAGGGACGAAUAAGGGCCGGGUUAACAGCCCGGCACGAUGACGGUACCUCGAGAGGAAGCACCGGCUAACUCUGUGCCAGCAGCCGCGGUAAUACAGAGGGUGCAAGCGUUGUUCGGAAUUAUUGGGCGUAAAGCGCGUGUAGGCGGCUUGGCAAGUCGGAUGUGAAAGCCCUCGGCUUAACCGAGGAAGUGCGUUCGAAACUGCCUGGCUUGAGUACCGGAGAGGGUGGCGGAAUUCCCGGUGUAGAGGUGAAAUUCGUAGAUAUCGGGAGGAACACCAGCGGCGAAGGCGGCCACCUGGACGGAUACUGACGCUGAGACGCGAAAGCGUGGGUAGCAAACAGGAUUAGAUACCCUGGUAGUCCACGCUGUAAACGAUGAGCGCUAGGUGUUGUGGGUGUUGACCCCCGCAGUGCCGCAGCUAACGCAUUAAGCGCUCCGCCUGGGAAGUACGGCCGCAAGGCUAAAACUCAAAG
rnacentral:rRNA from 1 species